UGAAUUGGAUGCAUGCUUUUAACGUUCUUGCAUUCACUUUUAAUGCAGGAAUUAUUUAUAGAUUCAACCCACGGCCCUGCCUUGUCCUCUGAAAUCCUCCUGGAACAAGUGCUAAGACUUGUGGGUUCCUCUGCAGAACCAUGAGGACCACUCGCGUCCAAGGUCAGAACCAGCAGCGAGUCCCCUUCACUUCAGGGGUUGGUGGGCCACGUAGCAUGUCCCAUGGUAUCCCCCCACUGAGCAGCCACAAGGAGGCAGAGGUGCCCAGAGAGAAGGAAAGACCUGAGGGAGUGAUAAAAUGGUGCAGAAUCCUGCAGCCCAUCCCAGCAGCUCCAGUGUCUGAUCCUGACCCCUGGGCACAUUUCUUUAAUCAGUAACUGGACAGUCCUGAGGUGUAAACUGGGGAGAAAGGUUAAUACAUGACAGAGGACCA